rnacentral:rRNA from 1 species
GACGAACGCUGGCGGCGUGCUUAACACAUGCAAGUCGAACGGAAAGGCCCUGCUUUUGUGGGGUGCUCGAGUGGCGAACGGGUGAGUAACACGUGAGUAACCUGCCCUUGACUUUGGGAUAACUUCAGGAAACUGGGGCUAAUACCGGAUAGGAGCUCCUGCUGCAUGGUGGGGGUUGGAAAGUUUCGGCGGUUGGGGAUGGACUCGCGGCUUAUCAGCUUGUUGGUGGGGUAGUGGCUUACCAAGGCUUUGACGGGUAGCCGGCCUGAGAGGGUGACCGGCCACAUUGGGACUGAGAUACGGCCCAGACUCCUACGGGAGGCAGCAGUGGGGAAUAUUGCACAAUGGGCGGAAGCCUGAUGCAGCAACGCCGCGUGCGGGAUGACGGCCUUCGGGUUGUAAACCGCUUUCGCCUGUGACGAAGCGUGAGUGACGGUAAUGGGUAAAGAAGCACCGGCUAACUACGUGCCAGCAGCCGCGGUGAUACGUGGGGUGCCAGCGUUGUCCCGAUUUAUUGGGCCGUAAAGGCUCGUAGGUGGUUGAUCGCGUCGGAAGUGUAAUCUGGGGGCUAAACCCUGAGCGUGCUUUCGAUACGGGUUGACUUGAGGAAGGUAGGGGAGAAUGGAAUUCCUGGUGGAGCGGUGGAAUGCGCAGAUAUCAGGAGGAACACCAGUGGCGAAGGCGGUUCUCUGGGCCUUUCCUGACGCUGAGGAGCGAAAGCGUGGGGAGCGAACAGGCUUAGAUACCCUGGUAGUCCACGCUGUAAACGGUGGGUACUAGGUGUGGGGUCCAUUCCACGGGUUCCGUGCCGUAGCUAACGCUUUAAGUACCCCGCCUGGGGAGUACGGCCGCAAGGCUAAAACUCAAAGGAAUUGACGGGGCCCCGCACAAGCGGCGGAGCAUGCGGAUUAAUUCGAUGCAACGCGUAGAACCUUACCUGGGUUUGACAUGGAUCGGGAGUGCUCAGAGAUGGGUGUGCCUCUUUUGGGGUCGGUUCACAGGUGGUGCAUGGCUGUCGUCAGCUCGUGUCGUGAGAUGUUGGGUUAAGUCCCGCAACGAGCGCAACCCUUGUUCACUGUUGCCAGCACGUUAUGGUGGGGACUCAGUGGAGACCGCCGGGGUCAACUCGGAGGAAGGUGGGGAUGACGUCAAGUCAUCAUGCCCCUUAUGUCCAGGGCUUCACGCAUGCUACAAUGGCUGGUACAGAGAGUGGCGAGCCUGUGAGGGUGAGCGAAUCUCGGAAAGCCGGUCUCAGUUCGGAUUGGGGUCUGCAACUCGACCUCAUGAAGUCGGAGUCGCUAGUAAUCGCAGAUCAGCAACGCUGCGGUGAAUACGUUCCCGGG